rnacentral:rRNA from 1 species
CUACGGGAUGCUGCAGUGGGGAAUAUUGCACAAUGGGGGAAACCCUGAUGCAGCGAUGCCGCGUGAACGAAGAAGGCUUUCGAGUCGUAAAGUUCUGUUCUUAGGGAAGAAAAUGACGGUACCUAAGGAGAAAGCACCGGCUAAAUACGUGCCAGCAGCCGCGGUAAUACGUAUGGUGCAAGCGUUGUCCGGAAUUACUGGGCGUAAAGAGUUCGUAGGCGGUCAAAUAAGUCAGGAGUGAAAGGCUACGGCUCAACCGUAGUGAGCUUUUGAAACUGUUUGACUUGAGUACUGGAGAGGAAAGUGGAAUUCCUAGUGUAGCGGUGAAAUGCGUAGAUAUUAGGAGGAACACCAGUGGCGAAGGCGGCUUUCUGGACAGUAACUGACGCUGAGGAACGAAAGCGUGGGGAGCAAACAGGAUUAGAUACCCGCGUAGUC